CAUUCCUGCGCAGUGCAACCUCCCUCCCCUCGCCUGCGCUGCAAACUGAGUUGGAUAUUACUGCUCAUUACCAAUAAUGGGAGGAACCUGCAGUUCAGCAUUUCCAUGUAAUAAUGAGGAAGCAUGUUUUUUCUAGACAGAAUAUUUAUGUAUUGAACCUUAAUUAGAGCAGUGUUGGUGAAUCUUGUAAAAACCAAUGGUAGGAGGAGGACCAUGUUUAAUCUAGUGGCUGCCGCUGCCUUAUUUUUCCACAAAUAAUAGGUUGAAACUUAUUUAUCAUACUGGUCAGAUCUGGUUGAUGAAAUCAGAAAUAUUACUCUUAAUA